AAAGAUUUUUAAAGCAGCUAAGGGAGAUUACUCAUUGUUAUGCAUUCCUUAUAGGACUGUCACAGCUACAUGUGUAACAGCUAGUAUAUAAUCCAGACCUUUUGACCAUAUUAAAGGGUCUACUAUAUUAUACUACUCUACUGUUACCAUGGUUACUAUUAUUUAAUAAAAUACAACAAUGAAGCAAGGAUCAACUGCGUUUUUAAAUUAUUCAACGAACCCUAUUACAUUUUGGCGCCCAACGUGAUGUUUACUGCAGUCCUGGAUCAUCUGAUGUCGACUGGUAUUUAGAUCGGGAUCGGAAUUCAACGCUCAACACCGGAAAGUGAAAAUAGCGUGUGAACCAUCACAGAGAUUUGACAACUUGUGUUUUCCUUCUUUUCAACGCUGGAAUAAUUCUGUUCAUCGUCGAUAUUCAUCUCCGGAGGGAUCGAGACAUUAAGAUGUUCUACUUCUGGACUGUCACAGCUACAUGUGUAACAGCUAGUAUAUAAUCCAGACCUUUUGACCAUAUUAAAGGGUCUACUAUAUUAUACUACUCUACUGUUACCAUGGUUACUAUUAUUUAAUAAAAUACAACAAUGAA